rnacentral:lncRNA from 1 species
CGGUCAUGUCCUUUGAUAGCUGUCUCGGUCAUGUCCUUUGAUAUCUGUCUCGAUAAUGUCCUUUGAUAUCUGUCUCGGUCAUGUCCUUUGAUAUCUGUCUCGGUCAUGUCCUUUGAUAUCUGUCUCGGUCAUGUCCUUUGAUAUCUGUCUCGGUCAUGUCCUUUGAUAUCUGUCUCGAUAAUGUCCUUUGAUAGCUGUCUCGGUCAUGUCCUUUGAUAUCUGUCUCGGUCAUGUCCUUUGAUAUCUGUCUCGAUAAUGUCCUUUGAUAGCUGUCUCGGUAAUAUCCUUUAUCUGUUUCGGUAAUGUCCUUAAUCUGUCUCGGUAAUGUCCUUAAUCUGUCUCGGUAAUGUUCUUUAUCUGUCUCGGUAAUGUCCUUAAUCUGUCUCGGUAAUGAACUUAAUCUGUCUCGGUCAUGUACUUUGAUAGCUGUCUUGGUCAUGUCCUUUGAUAGCUGUCUCAGUCAUGUCCUUUGAUGGCUGUCUCGGUCAUGUCCUGUGAUAGCUGUCUCUGUAAUGUCCUGUGAUGAGCUGUCUCUGUAAUGUCCUGUGAUGAGCUCCAGCCUGUGUCGGAUCCAUGUUCGUCCCAGUCAAAAGAAGAGAAGUCUCCACACUGUGUAGGAGCUAACUGUGGGAAAUGUCCACCUCCAAUUCACCACAAACACUCACACACACAAAAUAUGAGAAAAACACAGGACACAAAUAAGAAAGACAUAAGACACACACACACAAUAUAUGAUAAAAGCAUGCAGGCCACACACACACACACACACACACACACACACACACACAAACUUUGACUCACAUGUUCACUGUUGCAGCCUAUUGCUUUGAUCCUAUUGCUCUGAAAGUGAUCAAUAAAAAUAAAAUAAAAAAUAUGUACUUCUAUCGAUUUCAAAAUGUAUAUAAUUAUUCAAAUCACUAUUAGUCAGUAUCAUCUUCUAAUAUACAGAUGUAAGUCCCUUUCUUUCCAAUAUAUUUAUCCCUCUCAUUGAUUAUUUAAGCAUUAAGGCAUGAGAACCUGGGGAUUAUCGUUUGACAACUGGAUUUCGCCUUGGGCCUAAGAACAGCUCUUAGUUGGGAGUUAUCCCACGAUAAUCCCCGGGUUUGAGGGCCGUAUUGCUUUAUAAAACGGUUGGCAACAUACAGUGAGCUCCAACAGUAUUGGGACAGUGACAAAAUAUUUGGUUUUGGCUCUGUACUCCAGCACUUUGGAUUUUAAAUGAUAUAAAGUACAGACUGUCAGCUUUAAUUUAAGAGUAUUUUCAGCACUUUUUGUACAUAGUCCCCCCAUUUUAGGGGCCCAAAAGUAUUGGGACAAAUUCAGUUCUCUGUGUAUUAAAGUAGGGAAAAGUGAAUUAUUUGGUGCCAAUUUUCAUAAACAGCAAUGACUACAUCAAGCUUGUGACUCAAAAAAAUUGUUGGAUGCAUUUGCUGUUUAUUUUGGUUGCGUUUCCAAAUAUUUUGUGCCCAAUAGAAAUGAAUGGUAAAUAAUGUAUUGUGUCAUUUUGGAGUCACUUUUAUUGUACAUUUUAAUAGAAUAUGUUUCUAAACACUUCUACAUUAAUGUGGAUAAUCCGUAAUGAAUCGUGAAUAAUGAUGAGUGAGAAAGUUAGACGCACAAAUAUCAUACCCUCAAGACAUGCUAACCUCUCACCAUUACAAUAACAGGGGAGGGUAGAAUUUUAUAUCAUACCCCCAAGACAUGCUAACCUCUCACCAUUACAAUAACAGGGGAGGGUAGAAUUUUUAUCAUACCCCCAAAACAUGCUAACCUCUCACCAUUACCAAUAACAGGGGAGGUUAGCAUUUUAUAUCAUAACCCCAAGACAUGCUAACAUCUCACCAUUACAAUAACAGGGGAGGUUAGCAUUUUAUAUCAUACCCCCAAGACAUGCUAACC